UUUUGAAUUAGUCUAACCAUUACCUUGCCCCACACCAACACGGGCCUUUUGGGAGACCUAUGCUGCUGUAUGUUUUGUUAACUGAGUCAAGAGGGACUCAGUAUCUCUGCCUCAGUGAGCAUGAGGAAUUUACACCAGUGUAGGUAUAGCUGAACCCUGGCUGAUCUAGGAAAGCCCAAGAUUUGCCAAAUCCAAACUCUCUUAUCCCAGCGGAUCUUGGAUUUCAAUUGUGCUGCAAAUCAGCAAAAUCUCAUCUUGGGGAGAGAGCCAAAGGAAAAGUUUCAGAAGCUAGGGGAUUAAAGGGUGCUUCACCAACUUUCCAUCCCCCCCACAGUUAUCAAACAAAUGAAACAAACAGUCUGGGGGUGGGGAUAAUUUCGGACACCUGCUGGUCUGGCUUUCCAGGACGGGAGGCAAAUGAUACAAAAUAAACAUUAGCUGAGCGAAUUAGGGAUGCAGGCUUUAGGCGGCCAUCCUCAACACACUACUAGGGAGUAAGUUCCACAGCACACACUACUUCUUGGUCCCUACUUUUUAGUACCAUUUAUCACACAAUCCCUCCCUUCCAACAACAUGCAAUCACUUCAGUGCACUCUUGGAUCCCCCACUCCCUCAACCCAUAUCAUACACUACCCAACUGCUUGGUAAAGGUAAAUGUAAAGGGACCCCUGACCAUUAGGUCCAAUGAUGACCGACUCUGGGGUUGCGGCGCUCAUCUCGCUUUAUUGGCCGAGGGAGCCGGCGUACAGCUUCAGGGUCAUGUGGCCAGCAUGACUAAGCCACUUCUGGCAAACCAGAGCAGCGCACGGAAACGCCGUUUACCUUCCCGCCAGAGCGGUACCUAUUUAUCUACUUGCACUUUGACGUGCUUGUGAACUGCUAGGUUGGCAGGAGCAGGGACCGAGCAACAGGAGCUCACCCCGUCGCAGGGAUUCGAACCGCCAACCUUCUGAUUAGCAAGUCCUGGGCUCUGUGGUUUAACCCACAGUGCCACCCGUGUCCCAACUGCUUGGUACCAGCCAACAAAUCAUCAACAGGUUGUCAGUGGAUAGAGAAAAGUUUUUCUCCCUCUCUUAUAACGCUAGACCUCAUGAACUUCCAGUGAAGCUGUAGGAUUCAGAACAGGCAAAAGGGGGGGGGGACCCUUAUUCAUGCAGUACAAAAACUGUGGAACUCACUUCCACAAGAGGCAGGGAUGGUCACCAACUUGGAUGGCUUUAGAAGACAAUUGGACAAAUCCAUGGAGGAGAAAGUCAUCAAUAGCUACUAGCCUGGAUGUCUGUGCUCUGCCUCUAUAGUCAGAGGUAGCAAUGCUUCUGAAUACCAGUUGCUGAAAACCACAGGAGCAGAGAGAGCCAAUGUGGUGUAGAGCUUAAGAGUGGUGGACUUGUAAUCUGGUGAACUGGGUUCGUGUCUCCGCUCCUCCACAUGCAGCUGCUGGGUGACCUUGGGCUAGUCAAACUUCUUUGAAGUCUAUCAACCUCACUCACCUCACAGAGUGUUUGUUGUGGGGGAGGAAGGGAAGGAGAAUGUUAGUCGCUUUGAGACUCCUUCGGGUAGUGAUAAAGCGGGAUAUCAAAUCCAAACUCUUCUUCUUCUUCUUCUUCUUCUUCUUCUUCUUCUUCUUCUUCUUCUUCUUCUUCUUCUUCUGCUCAGAUCCUGCUAGAGGGUUUUCCAGAGGCAUCUAGUUGGUCAUUGUGAGAGCAGAAUUCUGGAGCAAGCCACUGGCCUUCUCCUAAUUGAAGACCCAAACAAACUGAGGUAAGAAUGAUGCUAUCCGGGGCUCUAGGCACUAAAUCAUAACAAACACCCACACCAACACAUCUAUCUCCCCACCCUCUCACUUAGGGCCACAAUGACUCCUCUCCUAACUUCUCCUCAGGACAGAACUCUUUAGCACCAAACUUAACUUUACUCACUCCAUGCACCUGACUGUCACCUGGGAGCACUAUCUUUCCAACCCUUGGGCUCUCAGCUAUCACCUGGGAGCUCAUAUUUUACAACUGAUACUUGUGCAUCCAGUGCAGAGGUUUCUCCUCCCCCAGAUGACUUGUGUAUAUUUUUAAAAGUUCCCAGCGUUUAAAUAAAGCUAUUGCUAUUUACAACUGCCUGCAGAAUUUACAAGUGUGCACCCUGAAUCUCUUAAAAGGCUACUUCUGCAGCAGCUGAGCAAGAAAUAUUUUGCCCUUGAUUGAUAUGCAAAUUUCAGCUAAACUAAUUGGAUUUCACAGCUGCCUCCCAGGAUCCCAUGUAUUAUUCAUAGAGUUUGAUUCUGCGCUAUGGAGGAUGUUAGAGCUAAUAAGCUGGAACCCUGGCAAAAUUCAAAACAAAAGAGUCAUCACAAUCUAUAUGGCCACACUUGAGUCAGAUGACUCUUAAUUUCCUACUGGAUCAAUGCAAAAUAACCCAUUUCCAAUGCAUCCGAAAUCACAGAGUCAUAGUAACCUAGACUUGGAAGGGGCUUAGAGGUAAUAUAGUUUAACCCCUGCUCAGUGAGGAAUCUGUAAUGUAGUAUGAAAUGACAGCAUUCUAACAGAUAACGAGGCUCUGCUUAAAGUGCCUUCAUCAAAGGAGAACCCAGAACCUUCUAAGGCAGUUGGUUUCACUGUUGAACUGUUCUUAGUGUUUGGAAGUUUCAUCAAUGUUUCAUCAAAGUCAGCUUUCUUGCUAUUUCCACCUGUUGGCAGUAGUUCUGCCUUCUGGAAAAACAGAGUAGACGCCUGCUCCAUCUUUUGUGUAACAGCCCUUCAGAUACUUGAAGGUAGCUUUCAUGUGUCUACUUUAAUCUUCUCCAAAGGCUAAAUAAUGGUUGUGUCCUGGUUCCUCUGUCCCAAAACAGGCAGACAGAGACUCUUACUUGGAAGUAAGAAAGAGAUCAUUAUUCAGGCAAGGAGCCAUGCAGUAGACAUAGAGCUCAGGAGUCAUGAUUCAGGAGGUUAGGAGCAAAGCAAGGCAUUAAGGAUUGGACGGAAGAAUCAGAUGUCCAUAGGUACUUGUGUUUCACCCACAACCUCAGUUUUUCUUGAGUUAAAAAAUGCACACACGUUUGUGGGCGCACAUAAAAGCUCUGUGCAAACAGGGAACUUAGACAGGGGCAUGUCGACCUAACCUACCUCACAGGGUUAUCGUGAAGAUAAAAUAGGAUGAGCUCCGUUCAGAAAGGAGGCUUUUUUUAAAAUAGAAGAAAAGUAAUUGAUAAAUAUAGUCCAGAUCAAACAUGAUGAAGAAAGAUCCUCAAGGUUGAGUGAAGCACAGAAAUCAUCCAUCAUGGAUACCUGCUGAGCCGCUAGAAGACAAACAGCAUUGCCGUUAAUGGAAAUCGCUCAAAUAAUAGCACACAUAUCAACAUAGCUGGCAUAUUAUAUCAGACCAUAAUACUUUAGAGACAGGGAACUGUAUCUUCAUAUUGUAUACUACGUAAGCUGAGCUCUGAGGAAAGCUGGGUGAUGAAUCCAAGUAAAAAAUGGUCCAAGGAGAGGAUACAUCACUUGUCCUAAAAGCAGGGAUGCAGACAAUUUUUAUCAUCCAAGAGCCUCAGCAUUUUUUUAACAUAGACACACAGACAGACAUAUUUGGUGGUGUUAACAACUGCUGAAUAAUACAUAACAUCACCUCCUUCUGUUUGAUUUCACUAUCUUUUCCUUUUCCUAUUCAAUUUAAGCACAUUCAAGCACAUGCAUUCUCUUAGCAGCUCCUGCUUAUCUUUCAUCUCUGAUUCUUCUCUAUGUUCCCAUCUUUGGUCUCUGCUGUGGGUUCUUUCUUUCUUGUUAAGCCCCCACCCCACCCCCACCCCAAGUAUUUCCCUAGAUAUCACAUCUUUAUUCUUUUCCUCCCCCUUAUCACACCCUGUCUGUUGCUAGUAAAAAGAAAACAAAAAACAUAGUCGCUAAACUUAUUCUCCUUCUUUCUCUUUUAAGUGUCCCAUUUAUUUUGGUGAUAGAUUUUGUCCUCCUCCAGUUUGUAAUUUUAUUAUACAGACCUUGGGAGUCAUAGUGGAUAACUUGAUGAAGGUGUUGACCCAGUGUGUGGCAGCUAUGAAGAAGUCAAAUUCCAUGCUAGGGAUCAUUAGGAAAGGAAUUGAAAAUAAAACCUGCUGCUAUCAUAAUGCUGUUGCACCAGUUUAUGGCGUGACUGUGUUUGGUAUACUGUGUACAGUUUGGGCCUCCAGGCAGAUAUUUGCAGGGUUGGAAAAGGUUCAGAAAAGGGCAACCAAUGAUGAUCAAGGGGAUGGAAUGACUCCCCUCUGAGGAAAGGCUACAGCAUUUGAGACUUUUUUUAGUUUAGAGGGAGGUGGGAAUGAGUAGCAGAUGGCAUGAUAUAAGUUUGCAAAAUUACACAUGGCAUGGAGAAAUUUGGUAGAGAAAAGUUGUUCUCCCCUCACCUAGCACAUCUAAUGGAUCUGAAUGUUGGAAGACUCAGGACAGAUAAAAGAAAGUCAUCCUUCAUAAUUUAAACUAUAGAACUCGCUCCCAGUGGAGGCAGUGAUGGUCAACAACUUGUAUGGCUUUAAAAGAGGACUGGACAAAUUAAUGAAGGACAAGGCUAUCAAUGGCCACGAGCUCUGCCUUCAUGGUCAGAGGUGGUGAUGCUCCUGACUACCAGUUGCUGAUCAAGUCCAGCUUGGGGAUUUCUCCCAGGCCUCUGGUUGGCUAUUGUGAGAACAGGAAGCUGGACUAGAUGAACCAUUGGCCUGAUCCAGAAGGCUCUUCUCAUGUUCUUUUUCCUAGUUUUCUAUCUGUUUGAAAUUAGGAUGCAGCUGCCCUUUGGCCUCCCGUCCCAAAUAAACUGCCCUUUUCAGCAAGCAUCCCACCUGGCAAUGGUGAGAAAGCAUCUCCCCCUCCACUGGCUUGGCCAAUUGCCAUUUGGCGCCACCAUAGCUUGCCUCAACGACAUGCCCAAUAGGUUGCAAUGGGGAGGGGAGGCAGAGGAGCCCCCUCCAUCAGCCUGGCAGCAGCUAACUCCCACUUGGCUCCUCUCUUUCCAGAACAGCUUCUCUCUCAGUGGUCAUUCAGCUGCAUUGCUUCAGAGGUCAAGGCCAAACAGCCCUGCCCAUUGGCCUGUCAGAGAUCCAGUGCUACUUGGCUUCUCCCUUAGGCAGAGGGGAGUGACUGGCCAAAGCCAGAGUUUCAUGGCUGAGUGGAGAUUUGAACUCAGAUCUCCCAUACCCUAGUCCAGCAUUCUAACCACUACACCACACUCCUUUCCUUUCCUCCCUAAUGCAUUUUAUGUCUAUCUUUAUGUUGUAAGCCUGUGGGAAGGACAGCUCUUGUUUCAAACGUAUAUACAGUGCCUCAGUUUGUAAAUGCUUUAUGCUACUCUGGAAUACAGGACCUAAUAUAUCCUGCGUAUCCCUUGCCCAUUGCUCUGGGGGCAUCAUUCCCCAAAUGCUACCUCCUCAUCUGUUCUGCUGUGGAAAAUUACUGGAAGAGAAAUUGUAUGAUCCAUUGCCACUUUCUAUCCCUUGCAUGCCAGAAAAUGCAUUUGAAUUCCCGUCACCGACCCAGCUGUACAAAACAGAAAUGAAAAUUGGGAUUUACUUAUACAUUGAUAGAAAACGAGAAGAAGAUGUAUUAAAACAUAGGAAGGUCCACAGCCUGGCAUACGAGCCUUGGAGUUAAUUUAGUGCCAUUUAAUCACAGUCCCUGGCCUUAAUGGGAUAAAAAUGGAAAGUAUAAACGCAGGACAAUUAAGCGUGGUGCAUAGGCCAUCGCGAAAUCUUAAUCGCGCUUAAUGAUAUAUAUUUGUCAUCCAGACUGAAACAGGUUUAGAAAGUUGGGGUUUUUUUUUAAACAAAGAUGUUUUAUAGCACUGAGCUUUAGUGCCAACCUCUUAACUGCUGCUGUAAUUUCUAAAUUUCCCAUGGGAAAGAAGUAGUGUAUGAAAGAAGCCAUUAGCAUGGAAAAGAAACUCAUUCACAUUUUGCCACAGGUGGAGAUGGCAGUGCUUAUAAUAGGAGACACACUGAUUUCCGUAUGGGGGAGGUGCUUAGCCAAUUACAGGUAUGAAUGUAAGAAUAGCCUGCUGGAUUGGACCAAUUCUAGUUCAGAAUCCUGUCCUCACAGGAGCCAACCAGACACCUGCAGGAAACCUGUAAGCAAGUACUUUUAAACAUUUUGUUGGGGAUAAUUCAGACUAAAAAUUCCCUGGUGUCAAAAGGUCAUUUAUGUAUGCCACUCCUGCGGCCUGUGUUUAGCCCCAAAAUGGAAAAUGAGCAAGGUCCCAACUAAAGAAGAAUGGCAGCUUAAGCUGAUGAAUAUGCGCAGCUUGCAGACUUAACAUAUAGAAUAAGAGAACAAGAAGAACAUACGUUUAGAGAAGAGUGGAAAAUGUUUAUUGAAUAUAUUGGGGGGGGGGAAUUGUGUAUACCUGAAAAUGUUGGCAGCAUUAAGAUAAAUUCAACAGUGUAAAUAAGUUUUGAUGGAUACAAUAAUGGAAUACUGAAUGGUUUAGUUUUUGUAAAAUAUGCAGGGAUUUAUGAUAUGCAAAAAGAACCAUGGAAAGAGAAGAA
rnacentral:lncRNA from 1 species